rnacentral:rRNA from 1 species
GUCCACGCCCUAACGAUGAUUACUCGAUGUGUGCGAUACACUGUACGCGUCUGAGCGAAAGCAUUAAGUAAUCCACCUGGGAAGUACGACCGCAAGGUUGAACUCAAAGGAAUUGACGGGGCCCGCACAAGCGGAGGAGCAUGUGGUUUAAUUCGAUGAUACGCGAGGAACCUUACCAGGGCUUGAAAGUUAGUGAAUGAUGUGGAAACAUGUCAGCCAGCAAUGGCACGAAACUAGGUGCUGCAUGGCUGUCGU